rnacentral:rRNA from 1 species
UCGCCUGUUUAACAAAAACAUUUCCUACAGAUAUUAUUAUAGGUAAAACCUGCUCAAUGAAAAUUUAAAUAGCCGCAAUUUACUUGUGCUAAGGUAGCAUAAUCAUUUGUUCUUUAAUUUAGAACUAGAAUGAAAGGUUUAAUAAUUUAAUCUCUAUUAUAAAUAUAUUAUAUUAAUUUAUACUAAAUAUAAAAAUAUAUUUAUAAAAAAAUUAGACGACAAGACCCUAUUAAACUUUACUAUUGUUAAGCUGGGGCAGCUAAAUAAUUAAUAUUUUAAUAUUAUUACAAAUUAAAACCCAAAAUUUUUGAAUUUUAAUCAAGUUACUAUAGGGAUAACAGCGUAAUUUUUAUAAAAAGUUCUUAUUUAAAUAAAAGUUUGCGACCUCGAUGUUGAAUUAAAAUUCUUUAUUUCGCAAUAGAAAUAAAAGAAGGUCUGUUCGACCUAUAAAUAUUUACAUGAUUUGAGUUCAAACCGGUGUAAGCCAGGUUGGUUUCUAUCUUUUUAAAUUAUUUUCUAGUACGAAAGGACAAAAAAUAAUAUUUUUAAUAUUUUAUUGGCAGAUAAAUGCAUUAGAAUUAGAAUCUAAAAAA